rnacentral:rRNA from 1 species
GGCCGCGGUAAUACGAAGGGGGCGAGCGUUGUUCGGAAUCACUGGGCUUAAAGCGUACGUAGGCGGCCUUUUAAGUCAGUGGUGAAAGCCAACAGCUCAACUGUUGAACUGCCAUUGAUACUGAAAGGCUUGAGUACAGACGAGGUAGGCGGAAUUGAAGAUGUAGCGGUGAAAUGCAUAGAUAUCUUCAAGAACACCGAUUGCGUAGGCAGCUUACUAGGCUGUAACUGACGCUGAGGCACGAAAGCGUGGGGAGCGAACA